ACGGAGGGUGCAAGCGUUAUCCGGAUUCACUGGGUUUAAAGGGUGCGUAGGUGGGUCUGAAAGUCAGUGGUGAAAUCCCCGUGCUUAACAUGGAAACUGCCAUUGAUACUCUGGAUCUUGAAUUUUCUGGAGGUUAGCGGAAUAUGUCAUGUAGCGGUGAAAUGCUUAGAUAUGACAUAGAACACCAAUUGCGAAGGCAGCUCGCUACACAGUCAUUGACGCUGAGGCACGAAAGCGUGGGGAUCAAACAGGA
rnacentral:rRNA from 1 species